UAUGACCAUAUCAUGUUGAAAUACCUGUUCCUGUACAAUCAUUGAAGUUAAUCAACAUUGAGCUUGGUCAGUACCUAGAUGAAUGACCACUUGGGAAUAUCAGGUGCUGUAA